rnacentral:rRNA from 1 species
UGGGGAAUAUUGCACAAUGGGGGAAACCCUGAUGCAGCGACGCCGCGUGAACGAAGAAGGUAUUCGUAUCGUAAAGUUCUGUCCUAUGGGAAGAUAAUGACAGUACCAUAGAAGAAAGCUCCGGCUAAAUACGUGCCAGCAGCCGCGGUAAUACGUAUGGAGCGAGCGUUGUCCGGAAUUAUUGGGCGGAAAGGGUACGCAGGCGGUUUAAUAAGUCGAAUGUUAAAGAACGGGGCUCACCCCCGCAAAGCAUUGGAAACUGAUAAACUUGAGUAGUGGAGAGGAAAGUGGAAUUCCUAGUGUAGUGGUGAAAUACGUAGAUAUUAGGAGGAAUACCAGUAGCGAAGGCGACUUUCUGGACACAAACUGACGCUGAGGUACGAAAGCGUGGGGAGCAAACAGG